UAAAGGGAGACCUGCCUAAAUCAAGUCGAAAGGCAAAAGUAAAAAGUCAAGAAGGCUUGAGGAAGGAAAUCCCUUGGUCGGUCGAAGAGAAAUGCGGCUUUCAAACUAUAAACUUGGAUUGGUAAAGACACGCGGGCUAUUAGCUCAGGUGGUUAGAGCGCACCCCUGAUAAGGGUGAGGUCCCUGGUUCGAGUCCAGGAUGGCCCACCUAAAAAAGUUAAGGGAAAGUGCUGCGAGAGUAAGAGUGUGAUAGACUAGGAAAGCGGAAAAAAUCGAUUCAGCACCUAGACAGAAUUAAAAGCUGUCAGACUGCUGGAUGAAAAGCCAGCCAGAACCUUGAAAACUGCAUAGUAAAUAGCGUUAAACAAGUAGAGUAGGCGUUGUGGCGGUAGCGGCAGCAAUAGUUAGCAGCACAGCCAGCCGAAAAAUAUCAAGAUAACG
rnacentral:tRNA from 1 species